CUGGAAAGGCAGGAGGGGGACCUCAUGCAGCAGCGUGCUGUGAGUGCUGUGAAUGGUACAUUGUUUUCAGAAACAUCCCUCUCCAUAUCAGCUCUCAACGAUUGAAGUUAAAGAAAACAAAGAUGCAGUUAGGAACUGGGACCCUUUGUUGAUUGAUUACCUGCACUGAGUACCUGCUUAACAUGGAUUUUACACUCUAACAUACCCUGGGCUUCUGAGAGGAAGGUGAAGAAAACCCCAUCUGACCCAGGCAAAGUUAGGAGUGAGGAGAAAAUUCCUUCUGAGUCCCAAAAAGGAGGCAUUGAGGAUACAAGUGGCUCCCAAGGGUCUACAGAGCUCAGGACAUCGGAUCCUAGGUGGAUGAUAUGAAAAACAGGC